rnacentral:rRNA from 1 species
AUUGAACGCUGGCGGCAUGCCUUACACAUGCAAGUCGAACGGCAGCACGGGAGCAAUCCUGGUGGCGAGUGGCGAACGGGUGAGUAAUAUAUCGGAACGUGCCCAGUCGUGGGGGAUAACGUAGCGAAAGCUACGCUAAUACCGCAUACGAUCUACGGAUGAAAGCGGGGGAUCGCAAGACCUCGCGCGAUUGGAGCGGCCGAUAUCAGAUUAGCUAGUUGGUGGGGUAAAAGCUCACCAAGGCGACGAUCUGUAGCUGGUCUGAGAGGACGACCAGCCACACUGGAACUGAGACACGGUCCAGACUCCUACGGGAGGCAGCAGUGGGGAAUUUUGGACAAUGGGCGCAAGCCUGAUCCAGCAAUGCCGCGUGCAGGACGAAGGCCUUCGGGUUGUAAACUGCUUUUGUACGGAACGAAACGGUGAGCUCUAAUAAAGCUUGCUAAUGACGGUACCGUAAGAAUAAGCACCGGCUAACUACGUGCC